CUGCACAAUCAUCCUAUGAAGUAGAUAACAUAUUAUUAUCUCUGCUUUAUAGAUGAGAAAACUGAGACUCAGAAGUGAAACAAUUUGCAGAGGAUCAUACAGAUAUUCUGACGCCGGAUUUGAAACUAGGUUUUCUUGACUUCAAUCCCAGCAGUGCCCUAUUCUAUGUCACACCUCUCAGUAGUCAUACAGGAGAGCUCCCACUAAGAAUUACUCAUUCAAAAAUAGUUUAUAGCAGAAGACUUGCAAAAAUGACCAACUUUUCUUUUUGUUAAAUUUUUUUUAUUAAAGCUUUUUAUUUACAAAGCAUAUGCAUGGAUAAUUUUUCAAUAAUGAUUCUUGUAAAACCUUCUGUUCCAAAUUUUCCCCUCUUCCCCCCCCCCCCACCUCCUCCUCUAGAUGGCAAAUAGUCCAGUACAUUAAAUAUGUUAAAAGAUAUGUUAAAAGUGAUCAAUUCUUCAACAUGAUCCAAAGCAAACUGGCAAUAUAGCAUUAAAAAAUGGAAUUAUUAAUAAAAGGGGAAUUUAAAGGUACUUAAAUCAGUUUGUUUGGGUAUAUCUUUUUUCUCCAAACUUAAAACAGGGGAAGGAGGCAAAUGAAACAUUUGUUUAUUUUAUUUAUUCAUCUAUCUAUCUGUGCAUCCAUCAUUUAUUUAUUUGUUGGGGCAUUUGGGUUAAGUGACUGACCCCCAGUCACACAGCUAGGAAAUGUUAAGUGUCUGGGGCCAGAUCUGAACUCCGACGUUCAUUACUUCAGGACUGGUGUUUUAUCCAUUGUGCCAUCUAGCUGCUCUAGAGAAACAUUUGAAAAUGAAAAGAAUAAUCACUUGUAAUUUGGAAUGAAGUAUUUUAUUUGGAUCAUCAAAUAAAAUAAGAAAUAUCCAUCAAAUAUGGUCCCAAGAACAAUAUGUAAAAUAACAAUCCCAGUAUAUUUAAUGAAAAUAUAUGCUUCAAGUAAAUUAGCACACUGAAUACAGCAAAUAAAUAGAUUCUACAAACAUUAACCUGAUGAUGACAGGGAGAGGAGAGAAGGUUAAGAAGGUGGGAAGAAGGUAGAUUUCAGAAAGACUAGAACUUGAAAUUGACACCCAAGUCACAUAAAAGUCAGAGCAAUAUAUUAAUGAAAAUUAGAAACAUACAUUUUCAAACUCUUUCUUUUUAUUUUUAGGGUUCCGGAGGGAUUUUUCUCCUCUUAAAUCUCAUGUAAACAUUUCUGAACAUUGCUUAUGUCACCCAUAGCCCAAGUGAUCCAGAUAAUAUAAUCUAGCCAUCAUUAGGAACCAUGAAAUUGCAGUCCCUCAGGGAGGAAGAGCGAGCUCUCUGUUCCAUACGGAAAAGCCAUUAAUUAGGAGAUCUGAGUGUUUAACAUGGUUGUGUACUACACUGAUUCCAAUCUCACCAUUGAGCAGCUAUCAUUGCUAAUGAAUUAUUGGGGACAAAGUUGACUUAGUGCCAGAAGACAUCACUUAAAAUUAAAAAUGAUUCACAAACUAUCUAGGAGCUGUGCUUCAAAGUCUAAACAGAAACAUCUCACUUUAUCACCUGUCGGCAAAUCAUUAUAAUCAUCAUUGCAAGAAAUAUUUCCAUUUAAAGCAAAUUUUAAUUAAAAGUUGUUUUUCAAUGCAUUGUAAUCUGCCAACAAUCCAUUUUAUAGAAAAUGAUAUUAUUUUCUCUGAUUCUAUAUAACCAUCUGGUCACUUGGCAACCAUAUCCCCAAAUCUCUAGGCUAGAUUGGUGUUUUAAGAAAUCUCCCUAAACUACUCUUUAAAACUACAAUAAUAUAGCCUUGAAAAUUAAUACAAAAUAUAAUUUGCAGUGAAGAAAUUGGAACCAGUGUUCUUGCUGCAGCAUGGUGGAAAGGUCAGAGACCUGGGUUUGGGUAACCUUAGGCAAGGCUCUAAGACUUUUCUCAUUUGUAAAAUGGGCAUAAUGAUAUUGGAAAUGAUCAGACUCGAAUGGUUUGUUGUGUGAUUCAAAGAAGAUCUAAUGACAUGAAGUGAAGAUACUCAGUAACCAUAAAAUUCUUUAUAAAUGGAAACCAGUAUUAUAAUUAUUGCUCUCCUUUUGUGAGCAGUGGUUUGUGAUGCUAAGUAGCAGUGUUUAAAGGGCAUUGACCAUACUUCCCACACCAGUGGUGUAGACCAGACUUCAUUACUAAGUCUUACUCUGAUGUCUUGCCAUGGAAUAAAGGUGCUUCUGGCUUUUCUAAAGCUAUGCUAGAAAAACUCUGAAAACAGGGAUGAUGUUACCACAGCUAUUGCUGAAAAACCAACUAAGUUAUAGAGAGGUUCAUCAUCAGAGAAAGCCAGCCAUCCUGAAUAUUGGUCAAUGAAUGAUAAAUAUUUUGACUAUAGAAAGCCAUGGAGCUUGGAUAUAGAAUUUAAAGUCCGUUAGUAGAUCAUAAUUUCCUUGAGGUCAGGAGCUGGGUUCUUUUUGAUCUUUGUUAGCUCCAAUGCUGUGCACAUUUAAAGAUAAUAUCUGUUGAAUUUUUUUAACAACUUAGAUUUUUGGGGGGUAAAUUUUUUUGUGAGAUUACAAACAUCAGUAAACAAUGAAUUUUUCAUCUAUGAAGAAUAGAAAGAGGAUUACAUAUGAUUCCAUGAAUCUCCAUUAUAUACAGCUUUUUUUUUAAAAAAAAAGUUCAUGUUAUAUUUAACAUGUAUUGGUCAACCUGCCAUCUGGGGGAGGGGGUGAGGGAAAGGAGGGGAAAAGUUGGAACAAAAGGUUUUGCAAUUCUCAAUGAUGAAAAAUUACCUAUGCAUAUAUCUUGUAAAUAAAAAGCUAUAAUAAAAAAUUUCAUGUUAAAAUUUUAAUUUGAUAUUUCUACAAAGCUCUCUAAUCCUUCUUUGAAGCACCUUCUCUCUUCUAUGCACUUUUUCAUAUUUGAUACUUGUUUUUAUUAAUUAUAUUACUAUUUUAAACCUGCUUUCCUCUCAAAAAAGCCCACUAACUCCUGCCAUAUUUGCUGUUUAGUUUAGUAAUAAUAUUCAUGUAAUUCUUAUGUGUGUUGUGAAUAAACGAAUAAAGCAUUUAUUAAGUGCUUACUAUGUGCAAAACACUGUGCUGAGUAGUAUGGAGACAAAGAUUUCUCUGGAAUGAGAAAAAUUCCACCUCAAGAAGCUCACAUUCUAAUAGGGGUGACAACAUGUAGCUUUCACUUAUGAGAUGUCUCAUUGUUAAGGUCAUUAUUUAGUGUCAUUAUUCUCAGGACUCUUAGGCUUGCUGCUUGGCUCUACCUUAUAUGCUUUUUGCCCCCAUAUACUCUGUAGUUAUUGGAACAUGAUUGUCACCCCAUUGUAAUCAUGGUCCUUCCUGGUGAGCAUCUAAAGAAUACAUGUGCAUGCCCCCAUUUCAAAAUUUCCUAAAUUAAUGAUCAAUUCAGUAUUUUUGUAAUAUUGGAAUUUAUUGUGCUUUGAUAGGUUCUUUUUUCCCCUUGAGAAGUUCCUUUAGGAUUUGUUCAAUUUCUAUUUAAAUUCUGCAUUUUUUAAUCUGUUAAUUUGGUAAUUUUAUAAUUCUGUAAACAUUUAUUAAUUAUAUUUGCUGUCAAUUUUUUGGUAUUUAAUUGAAAAAAAGUUUCCAAUGAUUGUGUUUUCUCUUCAUUUGUUAUGAAUCCUUGUUUCAUUUUAGAUUUAGGCAAUUUGAUUUUCUCCUCUUUUGGGGGAGGGAUCAGAUUAUCCUGUUUAUUCACUUCAUUAAAAAAAAAAGUUCCUAGUUUUGUCAGUUCAUUUUUGGGUUUUCAAUUUUACUUUAAUUUUCAGAAUUUCAAUUUUCAUUUUUAGUUUUUUAAAAAAUUCUUUAAAAAAAAGUUUUCAAGUUGUUUUCCAAUCCAUUGAUCUAUACUUCCCUUCUCUCUGUUGAUGAAAUUGAUUGUGAUAUUGAUCUAAGGAUGUAUGCCAUGGAUAUAGACCAAAGGUUUUUAGCAAUUGUCUCAUUGAUGUAACUUUUUGAAAUUAGAUAUUUAUGUGGUUUAUUCUUUGAACCAUGAAUUCUUGCAUGUUAAAUUUAAGUUGCAUUUAAGUUUCAUUCAUUUCUUCAAAUGAUCUUUACUGAUUACAUUUUUUAUUACAUUGUGGUCAGUAAAGAAUGUUUAAUAUUUUUGCUUUUCUGCAUUUGUUAAUGAGGUUUUAAUGUCAUAAAAGUUUUUAGAACAGUGCUUUAUAGCGCUGAAAUAUGUGUACUCCUUCCUCCUUCCAUUCAAUAUCCACCAAAAGUCUAUCAUAUGUAACCUGCAUAAGAUUUUAUUCAAUUUCUUUGUUUUUUCCCCUCCUUUAACUUGUGGUGUUUUGUAAGGGUCUCUUGAUACUAUAGUUUACUGUCUAUUUCUCUUUGCAAUUCAAUUAACUUUCCUUUUAAGUAUUUGGAUGCUAUGUCAUUGAUACACCAAAUACUAAUAUUUCAUUUUUUAUGGUACCCGUGAGCAUAAAGCCUUCAUUCUACUUGUCUGACACAAUUUCUUCUUUAGCUUUUCUAAAUUCACCUGAAGCAUAAAAAAUUCUGUUCUAGCCUUAUAUUUUAACUGUGUGAAUCUUUUUUUUUUAAGUGUGUUUUUUAUAUACAAUGUAUUUUUGGAUUUUGCUUUCUAACCCAUUUUGUGCCUUUCCUCCCUUUUAUGUGUCAAUUGAUCUUAAUUCUCCUCAUGGUCAUAAAUAUGAAUUAUUUACUUCUUUCCAUUAUAUCUUUUUUGGGGGGAGAGGAGGUUGGAGGUUCAUUUCAUUGUUUUCAUUCUCCUAUUUGCAAAAGAGGAGCUGGAGAAAGAAAAGAAAUAUGAUUAACAUUAUUAUAGUCUAUUAUUGAAGUGUUCUGUUCUUCAACCUUCUCUGGUUCUCUUUUCUUUACCUUCAUAUUCUUAACUUACAUUUGAUCUUCCUCUCUUGUUAAUAUCUUCUUUUAUGAUUAAUCCUAUCAAGAUGAUGUUUGUAUUGCUUACACCCAUUUUCCCCUUGAUUUUGCCAUUCUUAAACUUUGCUCUCUUUUCUUCCCCCUUUUUCAUUAUUUUUUUCUUACCAUGUUCCUUUUUUUCUUUCUUUUCCUUUUCUCUCUGAAAAUGAAUCAACCAAAACAAGAUCAUUUCUAUGUUUGCAUGUUACUUAGAUCCAUUUAUGACUCUUGAUAACAGUGAGAUUCUAAAGGACACAUUUUCCUUUUCUCCUCUUAUUAGAAGUUAAACCCAUCAUAAUUAUUUCUGUGGGUCCUCAAACUUUUUAAAUAAGGGGGCAGUUCACUGUCCCUCAGACUGUUGGAGGGCCGGACUAUAGUAAAAACAAAAACUUUGUUUUGUGGGCCUUUAAAUAAACUUCAUAGCCCUAGGUGAAGGGGAUAAAUGUCCUCAGUUGCCGCAUCUGGCCCGCCGGCCGUAGUUUGAGGACCCCUGAAGGCUCUUCUGUAUGCUCAUAUAUAUUUGCUACCUUUGACUUCUGUGUUUGUGCUUCAAAGUUUCCACUGAGCUCUGGUAUUUUCACUGAGAAUGCUUGAAAGUUCUACAGUCUAUUAAAAAUCCAUUCUCUUCUGCCCCCAAACUCCUUAAGAUUAUUCUCUUUGUAUAAGGUCUUCUUGGCUACCAGCUUUUGCCUUUUGGAAUGUAAAUUCUAAUUUAGAGUGUUACUACAUGGUGUUAGGUGAUCCUGACUCGGAUUCCUGACUCUUUCUGAUUGCUUGCAAUAUUUUUGCUCCAUAUUGGAAGCUUUGGAUUUUGAUUAUGAUACUCUUGUGUUUUCAGUUUGGGGUUUCUUUCAGGAGGUGAUUGGUGGAUUCUUUCCAUAUUCAUUUUCCCCUUUGGUUCCACUAGAUAUAUACAGUUUUCCUAUUUCUUGAAGUAGUACUCAGGGUUUUAGAUUUGUCAUGUUUUUCAAUAUUGAUGAUUCCUAAAUUAUUUCUCCUAGAUUUGUUUUUCAGGAGAGUUGUUUUUGAUAGUAGCUAUCUUUUAUUUUCAUCUAUCCCCCCCCAAUUUUUUUUUACUUUGAAUAUUUUUUAUUGUUUUAUGGUAUCUUUGAGCACUGGCUAUUCUAUUUUAUUUUUAGGUAAACUACUUAGGUAAAAUUCUCCACUUUCUAGCCUGCUUCAAGGCUAGAACCCCUUUGGGGUUCUUAUUUAAAUUCUAAGUUCAUUUUUACCUCUAAUUUUAUUUUUUCAUGCAUUCUUAUGACCAAGUCAUUUUUUCCCCUCAUAGGUUAUAUUAGGAUAUAUUGUGGACAUUCUCUUUAAAUCCGUCUCAACUCAUAGUAUUUCUUCAUUGUAUUCUAUUUUUUUUUUCUAUUUAUCUCAUUCUCCCCCUAAUUACUCAUUCCAACUAACACUGACUACUGAGAUUUUUUUUUUUUUAAUGCUGGAUUAUGUGGAGAUGCUUACAUUAUUAAAAACAUUUUUUUUUCCUUUACUAUAACAGAGUUAGAACUGAAUUUGAAUUCUGGGUAAGUCAAUUAAACUUUUUGUGUUUCAACUUACUCAUCUGUAAAUUGGGGAUAACAGCACUUAUGUCACAGUGUUAUUGUGAGGAUCAAAUGAGUUAAUAUAUGUGAAGCACUUUCAAACCUUAAGUACUAUAUCAAGGCUAGUUGCUAUUAUUAUAUUUGCUGGGGUUCAUGUGAAAUAGGUGUAUUUGUUCUUUACAAUCCUUCAUAUCUUAACCAGAAGCAUGGGAAGUGCUUUGUUUUUCUAUCUCCAUAUGCUAUUAUUACUGAGUACUGAGUACUGAGCAAAGAACCAGGGUUUUGAGUCUUGGUAUCUCAAUUGCUCUUCUUGAUUAGAUGGGGAAAGGGCAGAUGACACUGUGAGGCCAUAGGAGAAAAGACUCCACAGGGCCUGACAAGAAACAGAUUGACUAGUUGUGACUUCUGUAGAUUGGGUUGAGUGAUAAGGCUCCUGUCAGCUUUCCUUAGGGUAUCUCAUCCCAGGGUAGAACAAUGAAAGUCCAGAGAGAUAAUAAAGUAGUACUAACCAGUUAAAGCUCCCCGAGGCUGACUCAUCUUUGGUCUUGGAUGUGGAUGGUAAUCAUGGUACAAUUGGGGGAGGCAUGAGGCCCUAUUUGUCUGAUUUGUUGAAUGAAUGUUCAAUUCAUGAAUUGAAUGUUCAAUAUGAGCUCCCACAAUAAAGAAACUAUGGACCUUUCAAAGAAUCAAAGUAAAAUGGAAGCUUCAUGACUCACAUACCUAUACCUAAAUCAUGGCCUAUUCAUGGUAGAAUUCAGAUAAUCCCUUUUUUGGAAGCCAGUUUUAUUUACACUUUAUUGGACUUCUGAGUCUUUGUCCUCUAGAAUCCUCCAAAUUGGGCUCUAGUAGAUUUUCAUAUACAUGGAAACUAAGAUGAUUUUUAAAAUUUCUUAGUUAUAUUUUGGGGUCGUAUAUUGAGUGAAAUACUUUGUUUCUAUGAUGAAUGCUGUAAAUAUUGUCUUUGACAACAGUAUUUAAAUUUGAACAAAAGUAAAUUACUACAGUUGGAUGUCUAAGGAUUUGCAAUUUCACAGUAUGAUUGGAGAUGCUGCAAAUACAGGGGGAAAAGUCUUAUUCUAGGAAGGCACACUUACUUAAAAACACUGUGAAAUGUAUUUUCUGAUUUUAUCUUCAUGAAAUCUCUAUGAAACAGAUAGGGACAAAUAUAGUAUUGCUGUCUCCGUUUGCUAUUUUGGAAAUGGAAGUCCAGAAUGGUUAAGUGAUUUAUCCAAUGUCACAUAGCAACUUGUUAUCAUUGCUAUGCUGAUUUCCAUGAAUGAAAUUUGUUAUUUCUUGACUCAAAAUAUAUCCUGGCCCAGUAAAAUAUCUCUUCUUUGCCAUGCUCUGUUCUGACUUCAGCUUUUGGAUGAGGUGGGGGAUAGGGAUGGAGACAGUGGGAAGGAGGAAAUCAGAAGUAGUAGGAGCUGUAGACAGGUAGAUAGCCAUAGCCAUAUACACAUGAUGUGGUACAGCUCCUAGGGAACAUGUAGCAGUGGCCUUGAAGCCACCUGGCCUUGGGAGUAGUUAGGAAUGAUAUAUUUCUUCCCGUAGGCUAACCUGCCCUACUUUACUCUAUAUGGUCAGGAUGCUAAGGCUACACAUAUUGCUGGCUGUCAGGUAACAGUAAUAAUAGUUUUGGAAACUAAUGAGCAAUAAUAAUGAGGUGUUUAAAAUUAAUGCAGAUACAGAACAAAAUUGGGUGUCCACUCUUUGAUCUAAUGACGUUUCAGGCCUAAAAACAUACCUCUGGAAGGUUUCCCCAUGAGCUCUGUCCAGAGAAGUAUGGAUACUAUACUUGCGCACAAAGUCAGAACCAGACCACUCUUCAACUCCAUCUCUAAGCCAUAAAAUUAGCAUUAUCAGUGACAUGAAGCACAUGUGUCUCUCUAACUUUUCCUUAUAAAUUUACUUUCUUGCUCCUGGUUUUUUGUUAACUUCUUUUGGAAUUUAGCCCACUUUAAUUGGCAUUACAAUUAUAACAAGCUUUACUCCUUGAGAUGGGAUCAAGCCUGCAAAUUCUUUUGAGAUACCUCAUGAUGCCAGUUUGGAGCCCCAACAUUUUGGGGGUAUCCCUUGACCUCCCAACACACAUAUAUAUGCAUGUAUGAAUAUAUAUGUCUAUCUGUCUGUAUUAUAUGUGACUGUACUCAUUGGCAGAGCAGUAUAGUGAAGAAGAAAAAGUGCUGGGUUUAGUCAGACGACUGGCAUUCAAAUCUUACCCCCGCCAUUUACUAGUUUUGUGACCAUAGGCAAAUCAAACCUUUCUGGUCCUUAGUUUUCUUUUUUUUUUUUUUUUUUUUUUUUUGGUCCUUAGUUUUCUCAUCUAUAAAAUAAGAAAGUUGGUCUUAGAUCUGUUCUGGCAAUAAAUCUCUGAUCCUAAGAGCCAAGGAAGUAACUGGAGCCAUGAAUUUAGGACCACUGGUGCUGUUUCCUAGUGUCUUUUUUAUGACUAAAUUAAAGGAUGUGCUUAUGGCAGUGGAAGAUAAAGGGAUGGAUUCAAAGACUUAAGAAAACUGCUCCCAGUGUUUUAACACAGGGGCCAACAGAAGAGCUGGAGGAGAGAAUCAGCCCUGGCAGAGAAUGAGCUACAUCCAGAGCCACUGGAUAUUAUAUAGAUUUAUUUUUCCAGGUUAUAGAAUCCAGAAAAGGUGUCAAAGGAGUAGUAUAAGAACUUGGUCAUCUCUGUUACUACCUCAUCAUUUGGCAUUGGUCAAGUUACUUCCUUUCUUAGCAUCUGCUUCUUUAUCUGCAAAAAAAGAUGGAACCAGAUGAUCUCUAAGGUUCCUUUAAGUUUGAAGGUCUUUAGGUCUCUAAAGUGGGUUGGCUUUUGCCAUGCUGUCAGUUCUAUAUUUCCCUUCACACUUCUACCCUCUCAGUCCUGUCUUCUUUGCUCUGCUGGCCCAGAGCCACUGAACAUGAACGUUAUUUUUCCCUCAUAAAAGAUUUCAGAAACUUGUCCCAUCCAAAGUAAGCAGAGUCCUUUUAAUCCCUUUUCUGGACUAGAAGGUUUUAGAUGAAAAUCUCACCAGUCUAACUGUGUGAAUGAUAGAAGGAUGGUUGGAUAGAGGCAGCAAUUGAAAUGACCAUUUUCUAGAAUUUAGCUUCCUUUUUCUCCUUUCAGAGAAGAAAGGAGAAGAGACAGAAAGAUGAAAGUGAAAGUCUUAGAAUAUAUCUCCAGCUUUAUUUCCUGUGAUUCAACAGGUUGGGUGGUGAGUUCAUAUCCAUACUGGUAGGUAAUUCUUAGCCCUGUGGCUAAUUUUUUGAUUGCAUAUCUAGUUAAAUGUUUCAAUUUAACAAGUGGUUUAAAAAAAUUCUAAGUCUGAGAUUUAUACAAUUCCCUCAUUUGAAUAGGGUUUCAUGGUCCCGGUUAUAUAUAGGAUUGUGUGUGUGUGUGUGUGUGUGUGUGUGUGUAUGUGUGUAAACCUAGGAUCUAAUUUCCUUAAACGAAUGGGUUACCCAUAUAAGAUUGGUGUCCCAACAUGAGCCCAAAUAGAUUAUUAUCUAGACAAAUCUUACAUGUGAAGGGUAAGUGCUAGCUUUUACCCAUAUUCAAUUAUCAGUCUUUUAUAAAAACUUAGAGGACAUUAUAAGGCAAAAAAGAACACCCAAGACUGUCCAUUAGAUUGUUUCUUAGUACUUUCUCCAAUAGUUUCAUAGUGAUAUGGGGGCAUUAUUUUCCAUUAAUUGUAUGAUAUAGGCACAGGGAUCCUCAAACUUUUUAAAUAGGGGGCCAGUUCACUGUCCCUCAGACUGUUGGAGGGCCAAACUAUAGUAAAAACAAAAACUUUGUUUUGUGGGCCUUUAAAAAGAAAUUUUAUAGCCCUGGGUGAGGGGGAUAAACAUCCUCAGCUGUCGCAUCUGGCCUAUGGGCUGUAGUUUGAGGACCCCUGAUAUAGGGGGUUCAGAGAUUAGUAGGCUUUAAGAGAACUUAUAUGGACAAAUGACUUAUCUAGAGUAACACAGAAAAUUAUGGCAGAGUUAGAAAUAAAAACAAUAUCUCUGGGUGAUCAAUUAGUGCUGGUCUUCCUAGUAUCUGGGACCAGAAUCAGUUUGAAUUAAGAAUAAAUCUGUCCCACUGUUACUGAUUUCCAUUUUUAAAAAGUUGUUUCUUAACAAAUAAAAAAAUAAUGUAGAUGCUCCUGGAAGUUGCAUUGAGCCCCAGUAAAGCUAUCAACCUAAUAUUGAUAGACAGCUUUAUAAUAAUAGUUUGCAUUUACACUAUGAUUUUAGUUAAUAAAACACCUUACAAAUCAUAACAAAUUUUAUCCUCACAACAAUCCUGAGAGGCAGAUGCUAUUAUUUCUUUUUACAGAUGAAGAAACUGAGACAGAAAUAGAUUUAAGUGACUUGCCCAAGGUCACUGACUGGAUGUAUCAAUAGGAUUUGAACCCAGGCCUUUUGGAUUCCAGAAGCAGCUCACUAUCCAGUACAAUGUUUUCCUCCCUUUAAAGCAGUCUGCUUUAUCAUCUCUCUCUUCUGGAGGCAAAUGAGAACAUUGUAGGGACGGUUUCACAUGAUGUAGAGAUGGAUUUAGUUAGAGGCUACCUGCUCUACAAAUAUAAAAUAAAAUAUUUCAAUAGCCUAAGACUCUUCCUGAUCUUUAUCCAAGUGUUUUUUUUUUUUUUUUUUAAAGAGGAAAUGAGUUUGAAUCAAUGGUUGGAAACAUUGAGUUGUGAGUUUUCUGAAUGGAGUUCCUUUACAAACCCUACUCCUAUCCUUACCUAGAAAAUGAGGACAAUGACUUGGUCUGUGUAAGGUAAUUAUUGGGAGUUUCUGGAGAAAAUCAUCCCCUAGGAUUUUGCAAUCUUUCUUAGCAGUGCCAAUUCUUGUCGACAGGCAGUAAGAUCACUGUUGUUUUCCCCAGGUAGUCCAUAAGAUAGGUCACUGGUCAAAAAGAUGUAUAAGAACUUUGUAUCAAGAAGUGGAAAGAUUUUGGGGACUAUGCAGCACGCUAGACUGUUCAGAACAUCCAAAAUAGAGUACUAAUUAUAUAUAUGGCAACGAUAAUAGAUGAGUAAAAUCAUGCAGAUCUGGCCCAACAUAAACUCAUAUUGUAAAAGACUUUCUACUUUUUCUACCCAUAGCCAGUGGGUAGAGAGCUCUCCCCUAUCAAAACCUGCCUCUUUAGAGAAGAUCUGAAAUUUACUCACAUUUACAGGUAAAUGAUUGAGAAGACUAAUAAACAUGUUACCCCACCUUUAAGCUUGUUUACAUUUCGACACACAAAACUUUCAUCCAAAGGAUGACAUUUCAGGCAUCUUUCAGGUCCUGGAAGAGACUGAGGGCCAUUUUGGUAUCCCUAAAUUUCUAUCACACACAUAAAUAUGCUAAGAUCUUGGUCAUACAAGCUGUCAGAACCACUCUAAGCUAUAAGGCAGAAUUUUGAUGCAAGGAUUUGGGGAAUAACAAAUUUCAAAUGGAACUUAAUUCCUAAAUUAACACUGAGAAGGGCGGAUGCCACCAAGAGACAGUCAGACUGGGUUUAAAGUUUAUAUGCAAACUCCUCAAAUUUAGUAACCCACUACUACUCCUUUCUCCAUUUAAUUUAGACAUCUCCUCUUCCAAAGAUAUACACAAAUCAUUUCUAAAUUCCUUGCUAUCUGUUCUUCAUAAACCAUAGGCUUAGGCAUGCAGGUACCUUCCUAAAGAAGUGAUAUCAUAUAUUCUCCAUUUUGCUUUCUGCCCUGC
rnacentral:lncRNA from 1 species